rnacentral:rRNA from 1 species
UAGGGAAUCUUCGGCAAUGGGGGCAACCCUGACCGAGCAACGCCGCGUGAGUGAAGAAGGUUUUCGGAUCGUAAAGCUCUGUUGUAAGAGAAGAACGUGUGUGAGAGUGGAAGUUCACACAGUGACGGUAACUUACCAGAAAGGGACGGCUAACUACGUGCCAG